rnacentral:rRNA from 1 species
CCUUUGACGUUAGCGGCGGACGGGUGAGUAACACGUGGGUAACCUACCUAUAAGACUGGGGUAACUUCGGGAAACCGGAGCUAAUACCGGAUAAUAUUUCGAACCGCAUGGUUCGAUAGUGAAAGAUGGUUUUGCUAUCACUUAUAGAUGGACCUGCGCCGUAUUAGCUAGUUGGUAAGGUAACGGCUUACCAAGGCGACGAUACGUAGCCGACCUGAGAGGGUGAUCGGCCACACUGGAACUGAGACACGGUCCAGACUCCUACGGGAGGCAGCAGGC